GACUCCCUCCCCCCGGAAAUUCGUUUUCAAUUAUAGAUUUCAUCGCGGGUUAUUAUUAUCAUCAUAUUAUGCUGGCGUCAGGAAUACGAUAUGCACUUAUAUAUUAUAUUUUAAUUUUUAAAUCAGUACUAUAGGGUAGUGCAAAUGUCACGUAGGUUUUAUAAUAUGUGUUACUCAUUGCCGUAGUGAUCGAAAAAAAAAGUACUAAAUAUAAUGCGAAUAUGCAGAGUAAACGAUACGAAUAUGCACAAAAACUUUCUAAGUAUGCACUUAUACGUAUUUUUGAC